UACGUAGGGUCCGAGCGUUGUCCGGAAUUACUGGGCGUAAAGAGCUCGUAGGUGGUUUGUCGCGUUGUUCGUGAAAACUCACAGCUUAACUGUGGGCGUGCGGGCGAUACGGGCAGACUUGAGUACUGCAGGGGAGACUGGAAUUCCUGGUGUAGCGGUGGAAUGCGCAGAUAUCAGGAGGAACACCGGUGGCGAAGGCGGUGGUCUGGGCCGGCACUGACGCUGAGGAGCGAAAGCGUGGGUAGCAAACAGG
rnacentral:rRNA from 1 species